CGAUCGCGGAUACGAGAGAUCGUAUCCUUCAGUUCGGCUGGAUCGGAGACAGGUGCUGCAUGGCUGUCGUCAGCUCGUGUCGUGAGAUGUUGGGUUAAGUCCCGCAACGAGCGCAACCCUCGCCCUUAGUUGCCAGCAUUCAGUUGGGCACUCUAAGGGGACUGCCGGUGAUAAGCCGAGAGGAAGGUGGGGAUGACGUCAAGUCCUCAUGGCCCUUACGGGCUGGGCUACACACGUGCUACAAUGGUGGUGACAGUGGGCAGCGAGACCGCGAGGUCGAGCUAAUCUCCAAAAGCCAUCUCAGUUCGGAUUGCACUCUGCAACUCGAGUGCAUGAAGUUGGAAUCGCUAGUAAUCGCAGAUCAGCAUGC
rnacentral:rRNA from 1 species